rnacentral:rRNA from 1 species
UAUCGGAUUGAUACUAAGCCAUGCGAGUCAUUGUAGCAAUACAAGGCAUACGGCUCAGUAACGCGUAGUCAACCUAACCUAUGGACGGGAAUAACCUCGGGAAACUGAGAAUAAUGCCCGAUAGAACAUUAUGCCUGGAAUGGUUUAUGUUCCAAAUGAUUUAUCGCCGUAGGAUGGGACUGCGGCCUAUCAGUUUGUUGGUGAGGUAAUGGCCCACCAAGACUAUUACAGGUACGGGCUCUGAGAGGAGUAGCCCGGAGAUGGGUACUGAGACACGGACCCAGGCCCUAUGGGGCGCAGCAGGCGAGAAAACUUUGCAAUGUGCGAAAGCACGACAAGGUUAAUCCGAGUGGUUUCUGCUAAAGGAACCUUUUGUCAGUCCUAGAAACACUGAUGAAUAAGGGGUGGGCAAGUUCUGGUGUCAGCCGCCGCGGUAAAACCAGCACCUCAAGUGGUCAGGAUGAUUAUUGGGCCUAAAGCAUCCGUAGCCGGCUCUGUAAGUUUUCGGUUAAAUCUGUACGCUCAACGUACAGGCUGCCGGGAAUACUGCAAAGCUAGGGAGUGGGAGAGGUAGACGGUACUCGGUAGGAAGGGGUAAAAUCCUUUGAUCUAUUGAUGACCACCUGUGGCGAAGGCGGUCUACCAGAACACGUCCGACGGUGAGGGAUGAAAGCUGGGGGGGCAAACCGGAUUAGAUACCCGGGUAGUCCCAGCUGUAAACCAUGCAAACUCAGUGAUGCAUUGGCUUGUGGCCAAUGCAGUGCUGCAGGGAAGCCGUUAAGUUUGCCGCCUGGGAAGUACGUACGCAAGUAUGAAACUUAAAGGAAUUGGCGGGGGAGCACCACAAGGGGUGAAGCCUGCGGUUCAAUUGGAGUC